UACAUAGGGACCAAGCGUUGUCCGGAUUUAUUGGGCGUAAAGAGCUCGUAGGCGGCCCUCCACGUCGGAUGUGAAAGCUCAGGGCUCAACCCUGGGAUGCCAUUCGAUACGGGAAGGCUAGAGGUAGGUAGGGGAGACUGGAAUUCCUGGUGUAGCGGUGAAAUGCGCAGAUAUCAGGAGGAACACCGGUGGCGAAGGCGGGUCUCUGGGCCGUAACUGACGCUGAGGAGCGAAAGCGUGGGGAGCGAACAGG
rnacentral:rRNA from 1 species